rnacentral:lncRNA from 1 species
UACCGUGGAGUUUGUGUUUCCAGUCAUCAUCUUCCUUUUUUGGUGAUAGUAAAAAAACUCGAGUUCACCAAUUAUAAAUUUCUAGCACUACCAUAUGAUUAAAUAAAGUAUUUCCUAUAUUUGUCCUCUGUUUUAAAAAUCUUAGUUCAUUUAAAAUCAAACAUUAAUCAUAAAUCUCCGGGAAAUACAACAACUUAUCAUUUCAACUUCCGUACUUGUUUUGAAUUUUAGAUAAUCAAUGCCACGUGACUUCGACAUUAUCAAUGAAGCGCUUGAUCAUUAUCGCAGAUAUGAACAUCACUUACAUUCUGAUAGUGGUUAUAGACAAUAUUCCGACGUCUGUUUCAU